GAUGAACGCUAGCGGCAGGCUUAAUACAUGCAAGUCGAGGGGCAGCACAGAUAGCAAUAUUGGGUGGCGACCGGCAAACGGGUGCGGAACACGUACACAACCUUCCUUUUGGUGGGGGAUAGCCUUUGGAAACGGAGAUUAAUACCCCAUAAUACAUUGAGACAGCAUUGUUUUGAUGUUAAAGAUUUAUCGCCGGAAGAUGGGUGUGCGUAUGAUGAGGUAGUUGGUAGGGUAACGGCCGACCAAGCCGACGAUCAUUAACUGGUGUGAGAGCACGACCAGUCACACGGGCACUGAGACACGGGCCCGACUCCUACGGGAGGCAGCAGUAAGGAAUAUUGGUCAAUGGACGGAAGUCUGAACCAGCCAUGCCGCGUGGAGGAUGAAGGUCCUCUGGAUUGUAAACUUCUUUUAUAGGGGGCGAUAAAAGGGAAUUCUUUCUCGUCUGACGGUACCCUAUGAAUAAGCACCGGCUAACUCCGUGCCAGCCGCCGCCGUAACAC
rnacentral:rRNA from 1 species